ensembl:lncRNA
GCUGACAGCAAAGGGGGAACUUGACACUGCACUGGGGCCUGUGGGGCUUCUGCCCUCCCCGACCUUCUGGAGGCAUAGCCCAGGAGAACCUUCCAGAACACUCUGGAGCCCAACACUGUGGAGCUGUUCAGUGAGGCUCUGGCUUGUUUAGAAUUUCAUCUGAUUUGGGGUGGCCCAGGGGCUCUGAGGAAUUCUGGUCUCAGCACGAUCCUGGCUGGGAUUUACGCUCUGGCAUCCGUCACAAACUCAAUUCUGGACUUGCUUCCCCUUACACGUUAGUUUCAUUAUAUGUGAUAUUUUUAUAUGUAUUAGACACUCAGGGAUUUUUAUCAGGAGGGGCUUUGCAGUAGAAUAUCUUCUGCUCUUGAGAGAUUCCAGGGCAUGCUCAGUACACAACUGUAGCCUGCAUCCAUUCAAUAAAUGUUUACCAGGCACUCAGGUAGACACCAGAGAUGGUACCCUCAGGGACUGUUAGUGGCUUAGUUGUGUCCAACUCUUUGUGACCCCCAUGGACUAUAGUCAGAGAGGCUCCUCUGUCCAUGGGAUUCUCCAGGCAGAUUUCUUUACCAUCUGAGCCACUAUGGAAGACAGACAUGUAAAUAAAUGAAUGCAGUGACUUCUGAUAAAGCAUGAGCUGUUCAGAAAACAGCCAGCAGACUCUCAGCACUUCAAAGGACACUCCCAGAAUGAGUAUACAGUUGGAAUCAGUAUGACAGUGAGUCAGCCUGGUGAGCCGAAGGCCUGCUGUAAGAUCGAUGUGUCAGGAUCACAUGCUUAGAAACUAGCUUCCAGUGCGCCUGAUUGCCCUUGAUCAAAGCUAGUGGAAAGGGCUGAGGGUUUGCCAGGUGGAACGAAAAAUAAUGAAGAGGGGGGAUAAGUGAGGGGUGGGUGAAGAUAUAGAGGAAAGAAAUGAAAAGAACUAGGAACUGAUAGCAGAAAGUACUUGGGUCACAGUGAGAGAUGGACAUGAGUAUAUGACGUUAGGGACCGCAGAUCCCUAGACCAGCUUUUGAAAUCAGUAGCAAUAUUUAUUGCUUAACUUUUAAUCUCAUUGCUCUUUCAUCAUUUACCAUCACCUGGGCUCUUAUCUUGAUACUAUUCUAGAUGUCCACCAACCACAGGGGUAAUUUAGAGGUUAAGAAUACAGGGACUCUAGGGCCAAACUGUAACUAGAGUGUUUGAACUUCAGCUCUACCACUUACUAUC